UACAGAGGUGGCAAGCGUUGUUCGGAAUUACUGGGCGUAAAGGGCGCGUAGGCGGCCUUCUAAGUCAGACGUGAAAUCCCCCGGCUUAACCUGGGAACUGCGUCUGAUACUGGAAGGCUUGAGUGCGGGAGAGGGAUGUGGAAUUCCAGGUGUAGCGGUGAAAUGCGUAGAGAUCCGGAGGAACCCCAGAGGCGAAGGCGGCAGCCUGGUUGGCUCCUGACGCUCGGACACGACAGCAUGGGGAGCGAACGGG
rnacentral:rRNA from 1 species